rnacentral:rRNA from 1 species
UACGUAGGCAGCAAGCGUUGUUCGGAGUUACUGGGCGUAAAGGGUGUGUAGGCGGUUCUUUAAGUUUGGUGUGAAAUCUCCCGGCUCAACCGGGAGGGUGCGCCGAAUACUGGGGGACUAGAGUGCGGGAGAGGAAAGUGGAAUUCCUGGUGUAGCGGUGAAAUGCGUAGAUAUCGCUUGGAACGCCAAAGGUGAAAACAGGUUGCUGGGGUUGUGCCGACGCUGAGACACGAAAGCCAGGGGAGCAAACGGG